UCAAGAAUUAGCCACCAAAAAAGACACAAUGACAUUUGAGAAAAAUCUAUUUCAUAUUUAUUAUAAGAUGUUACAUUUAGUUUUCUUUCUCUAGCAGCACUAUUUAAAUUACAGAUAUUCAAGGGCAGUUACCACUGAUCAGUUUCUCUUAAUGCAAGAUGUCAGUGUGUAAACAAAGACAGAACCAUAAAUUAAAAAGUACCAGAACUCAGCACGUUUGUGACGUGAAGAUAAAGAACAAUAAACCAACAAGUCUGGAUUUGAAAUAAAACAGACAAGGAAUGGAAUAAAAAUAAAACAAAAACAAUCCAGUUCAAAUAAAUGACAACAAACAGCUUCUUUUUGGAGCAUUACAGGUUGUCGCCUUUUUACUGGACAACAUGCCUCAAAGCGCUCCAUGCAGUUUACAAAAUCUUGAAAAAAAAUUCAAAAUGAGCAACUGAAGUACAUCAUAAGUGCAUUCGGACGACCCGUAGAGACAACACAACGUAAAAAGAAGGCAAAUACAAAAUGUGUUGAAAAGAAACAUUUAACAUAAUGAUUUUACACUUCAACAACUCGUCUGACCCAUUUACAAAGAAAGAAAAACUUGAUUAUUUGGCACAUUCUGUCGACCAAAGAAGAAUUAUGGAGACAAUUCAACCUUUGUCUUUUUUUUCCUGCCAUUGGUUGGAAAAUACUUUUUUUUUUUUUUGAAAGAUGCUCUGUAGCA